rnacentral:rRNA from 1 species
AUGGUUCACCUCGAAAGGGAGCAAAUCGACCCUUCCAACCUAGCAAGCCUCCCCAUGUUCAUGAUGGGGAUGUAUAUCCUACCUGAGGGCGUCCAUAGUGCCUUCGAUAAGGAUCUCGCUAGGUUCUUUUGGCAGGCGGCCAACGGCCGCCAAAAGUACCACAUGGUAAAGUGGGCGAAUAUUUGCAUGCCUAAAGACCGUAGUGGCCUGGGCAUCACUGCCUCCCGCCGUAUGAACGUUGCGCUCAUGUUGAGAUGGGUCUGGCGGAUCUUAUGCGGUGAGGGAGGACUGUUGCUACAGCUCAUUCCGGCAAAAUACCUUAGGGGUGAACCACUCUUGGCAUGCAACCGAAUGGAGGGCUCACAAUUCUGGCGAGCCAUCCAAAGGAUCAAGGAGGACAUCCGCCUUGGGAUCUCCUUCUCCUUAGGGAACGGGAAAGGGAUCCAAUUUUGGCUCGAUCCCUGCUGGGUACUGAGCCAUUAUGCGUUUGCUUCCCUGACUUAUUCUUGA